GACGGGGGCCCGCACAAGCAGCGGAGCAUGUGGUUUAAUUCGACGCAACGCGAAGAACCUUACCAGGUCUUGACAUCCAGUAAAAGCCAUAGAGAUAUGGUGUGAGCUUGCUCAUACUGAGACAGGUGGUGCAUGGUUGUCGUCAGCUCGUGUCGUGAGAUGUUGGGUUAAGUCCCGCAACGAGCGCAACCCUUAUUUUCAGUUACUAACGCGCAAUGGCGAGGACUCUGAAGAGACUGCCGGGGACAACUCGGAGGAAGGUGGGGACGACGUCAAAUCAUCAUGCCCCUUAUGACCUGGGCUACACACGUGCUACAAUGGCCACCACAGAGAGGAGCGAACCUGCGAGGGGGAGCGGAUCUCAAAAAAGUGGUCCCAGUUCGGAUUGUGGGCUGCAACCCGCCCACAUGAAGUCGGAGUUGCUAGUAAUCGCGGAUCAGCAUGCCGCGGUGAAUACGUUCCCGGGCCUUGUACACACCGCCCGUCACACCAUGGGAGUUGGGAGUGCCCAAAGUCGGUGAGGUAACCGCAAGGAGCCAGCCGCCUAAGGCAAGACCAAUGACUGGGGUGAAGUCGUAACAAGGUAGCCGUUCGAAG
rnacentral:rRNA from 1 species